rnacentral:rRNA from 1 species
CUACGGGAGGCACCAGUGGGGAAUAUUGCACAAUGGAGGAAACUCUGAUGCAGCGACGCCGCGUGAGUGAAGAAGUAUUUCGGUAUGUAAAGCUCUAUCAGCAGGGAAGAUAGUGACGGUACCUGACUAAGAAGCACCGGCUAAAUACGUGCCAGCAGCCGCGGUAAUACGUAUGGUGCAAGCGUUAUCCGGAUUUACUGGGUGUAAAGGGAGUGUAGGUGGCAUGGCAAGUCAGAAGUGAAAGCCCAGGGCUCAACCCUGGGACUGCUUUUGAAACUGCCAGGCUAGGGUGCAGGAGAGGUAAGUGGAAUUCCUAGUGUAGCGGUGAAAUGCGUAGAUAUUAGGAGGAACACCAGCGGCGAAGGCGGCUUACUGGACUGUAACUGACACUGAGGCUCGAAAGCGUGGGGAGCAAACAGGAUUAGAUACCCUGGUAGUC